rnacentral:tRNA from 1 species
GAGAGUAUAGCUCAACUGGUAAAGCGCAUGCUUAGCAUGCAUGAGGUCCUGGGUUCAAUUCCCAGUACCUCCU